rnacentral:rRNA from 1 species
CGGGACGGGUGAGUAAUGUCUGGGAAACUGCCUGAUGGAGGGGGGUAACUACUGGAAACGGUAGCUAAUACCGCAUAAUGUCUACGGACCAAAGCGGGGGACCUCCGGGCCUCGCGCCAUCAGAUGAACCCAUAUGGGAUUAGCUAGUAGGUAAGGUAACGGCUUACCUAGGCGACGAUCCCUAGCUGGUCUGAGAGGAUGAUCAGCCACACUGGGACUGAGACACGGCCCAG